UUAGGUGUCUUGUGCAGGGAUAUUUUCAAUGACACAUCAUUAGCUUCAUCUUUCAACUUUCUUCCUUUAUUGCUUUUUACUUUGGUUGCUGAAAAUCUCUUCUAUUUUUUCCCAUUCAUCCCAGCUGUAAUCGUUAUUCUCUAUUUGUUCCCUCUUCUUCGCCACUCCUCCGGCGACGAAAACCAGCAGCUCCGGCUACAACUCUGGCGAAGAAUCCCACAACGGUCAACGCUCGCCGAAGUCCGUUCUACGGUGUGCUUCAACUUCAUUUGAUGAAUCUCAGAAUAACGAGGAAGCUUACCCUCCGAUAUCAUGGACAAAAAUGACAUUUCCAUGUCGGAAAACUUCUGCGAUUUUCCACCGUUCGAGAGUUUCUUCCCCAAUGAUUUGUUUCAGUUCGAGAACCCGGUUACCAUAUCCGACUUGUUUUUUGAACCGGAUACUUUACCCGACUGCAAUAACAUGUUAUUCGGAUCAAGUACUACUGAUUAUGGUUUCGGAUCUUCAUCCUGGCCCGUAGAUGAUUUCUUUCAGGAUUUCGGAGAUGUAUUCGGGUCUAACCCGCUUGUGCCUCUUUGAUUUCAUCGGCAGAUUAAUCGGCGAUAAGUAUAAAUGGUUUAAUAUUCGUAAUUUUAAAAUUUAAUUUUGUGUUCAGUUUACCAGUUUUGUUUAAAUUUGUUGAUUAAUGUGAGUGAUUAGUGAGUAAUUAGUAAUUAGUAGUAUUAAUAUGUAACAGCUCCGUCACAUUAACGGUGAUGCUGAUGGAUGAGAUUUUGCGGUACAGUGUUGUUUUGGUGUUUUGUGCUUCGUUAAUAACAAUAAACGACUUUAGCAAUUAUUAA